GAUGAACGCUGGCGGCGUGCCUAAUACAUGCAAGUCGAGCGAACAGACGAGGAGCUUGCUCCUCUGACGUUAGCGGCGGACGGGUGAGUAAUACGUGGAUAACCUACCUAUAAGACUGGGAUAACUUCGGGAAACCGGAGCUAAUACCGGAUAAUAUAUUGAACCGCAUGGUUCAAUAGUGAAAGACGGUUUUGCUGUCACUUAUAGAUGGAUCCGCGCCGCAUUAGCUAGUUGGUAAGGUAACGGCUUACCAAGGCAACGAUGCGUAGCCGACCUGAGAGGGUGAUCGGCCACACUGGAACUGAGACACGGUCCAGACUCCUACGGGAGGCAGCAGUAGGGAAUCUUCCGCAAUGGGCGAAAGCCUGACGGAGCAACGCCGCGUGAGUGAUGAAGGUCUUCGGAUCGUAAAACUCUGUUAUUAGGGAAGAACAAAUGUGUAAGUAACUAUGCACGUCUUGACGGUACCUAAUCAGAAAGCCACGGCUAACUACGUG
rnacentral:rRNA from 1 species